rnacentral:rRNA from 1 species
UACAGAGGGUGCGAGCGUUGUUCGGAAUUAUUGGGCGUAAAGGGCGCGUAGGCGGCUUCGCAAGUGGAAGGUGAAAUCCCUCGGCUUAACCGAGGAACUGCCCUCCAAACUGCGUUGCUUGAGGCCGGGAGAGGUGAGUGGAAUUCCUGGUGUAGCGGUGAAAUGCGCAGAUAUCAGGAAGAACACCCGUGGCUAAGGCGGCUCUCUAGUACGUGACUGACGCUGAGACGCGAAAGCGUGGGGAGCGAACAGG